CCUACGGGGGGCUGCAGUGGGGAAUAUUGGACAAUGGGGGGAACCCUGAUCCAGCCAUGCCGCGUGUGUGAAGAAGGCCCUCGGGUUGUAAAGCACUUUCAGUGAGGAAGAACGCCUGGUGGUUAAUACCCAUCAGGAAAGACAUCACUCACAGAAGAAGCACCGGCUAACUCCGUGCCAGCAGCCGCGGUAAUACGGAGGGUGCGAGCGUUAAUCGGAAUUACUGGGCGUAAAGCGCGCGUAGGUGGCUUGAUAAGCCGGUUGUGAAAGCCCCGGGCUCAACCUGGGAACGGCAUCCGGAACUGUCAAGCUAGAGUGCAGGAGAGGAAGGUAGAAUUCCCGGUGUAGCGGUGAAAUGCGUAGAGAUCGGGAGGAAUACCAGUGGCGAAGGCGGCCUUCUGGACUGACACUGACACUGAGGUGCGAAAGCGUGGGUAGCAAACAGGAUUAGUACCCCGUAGUC
rnacentral:rRNA from 1 species